UACAGAGGUCUCAAGCGUUGUUCGGAUUCAUUGGGCGUAAAGGGUGUGUAGGUGGCGCGCUAAGUCGGGUGUGAAAUUUCGGAGCUUAACUCCGAAACUGCAUUCGAUACUGGCGUGCUCGAGGACUGGAGAGGAGACUGGAAUUCAUGGUGUAGCAGUGAAAUGCGUAGAGAUCAUGAGGAAGACCAGUGGCGAAGGCGGGUCUCUGGACAGUUCCUGACACUGAGACACGAAGGCCAGGGGAGCAAACGGG
rnacentral:rRNA from 1 species